rnacentral:tRNA from 1 species
GCCUCGGUAGCUCAGGUGGUAGAGCAGCGGACUGAAAAUCCGCGUGUCGGUGGUUCGAGUCCGCCCCGAGGCA